GACAAUGGGGGCAACCCUGAUCCAGCCAUGCCGCGUGAGUGAAGAAGGCCUUCGGGUUGUAAAGCUCUUUUGUCCGGAAAGAAAAGCUUCGGGUUAAUACCCUGGGGUUCUGACGGUACCGGAAGAAUAAGCACCGGCUAACUUCGUGCCAGCAGCCGCGGUAAUACGAAGGGUGCAAGCGUUACUCGGAAUUACUGGGCGUAAAGCGUGCGUAGGUGGUGAUUUAAGUCUGAUGUGAAAGCCCUGGGCUCAACCUGGGAAUGGCAUUGGAUACUGGAUCGCUGGAGUGCGGUAGAGGAUGGCGGAAUUCCCGGUGUAGCAGUGAAAUGCGUAGAGAUCGGGAGGAACAUCCGUGGCGAAGGCGGCCAUCUGGACCAGCACUGACACUGAGGCACGAAAGCGUGGGGAGCAAACAGGAUUAGAUACCCUGGUAGUCCACGCCCUAAACGAUGCGAACUGGAGGUUGGGUGCAACUUGGCACUCAGUCUCGAAGCUAACGCGUUAAGUUCGCCGCCUGGGGAGUACGGUCGCAAGACUG
rnacentral:rRNA from 1 species